GUCCGGACGUCUCCACCGGUGUUACGGGUUAAGAAGCGACCGUGUCGGACCGGGAGAAGUUGCGCACCAUGCUGGUCAUCGUGAGGAUGCUCCUGGAGGGCCUGUGGUUGAGACGGUGUUAAUGACCAUCCAGUUCUUCCCGUGUCGCCUCAGUAUCACGAGCCAACAUGCAAUGCUCCUCAUGAGGAGGAACCAUCUGGACUUCAAGCUCCUGGCACUCCGCUGAAGGCACCUCCAGG